CGACCAGCAGCUCUGACCUGGGCAGACUUUCAAGGAAGAUGCUCUUGUUGGCUUUUCUUCUGCCCUCUGCACCUGCAACAGCUCAGUCAGGGUGAUUCUGGGGGCCCACGACAUCCUGAUUCAAGAGUGGACCCCGUAGGUCAUCCCUGUGAAAGAAGCCAUCCGCCACUCAGACUAUAUUCCUGGAGACUUCUUCAACGACAUCAUGUUACUAAAGGUGGCCAGGUCCAGGGGGAGCACGGACUCAGUCUUCUGCACUCUUUGUCCAUGUGGCGACUCUGGAAGCCCACUCAUCUGUAAGAACAUGCUCCAGGGUCUUGCCCUCCAUGGACAAGAUGACAGGACAGCUCCACGGCUCUUCAUCCAACUCUCAAGCUUCCUGCCCUGGAUAAAGGAAACCAUGAAAUCCUAUGAAAUGCCUCUAACUGUAGGAACCAGCCCACCUUCUCUGGAGCUGAUCCAGAAUGUCACCAGCAACUAAAUAAAUGUCUCUUAGCUGAGCAGGAAGGGCUGGUUUCUUGUUUAUUCAUUGACCCUCAUUCACAGGCACUAACUCUGUCCUUAGAAGGCCAAUGACACAAAUCUGCCGUUUCCUGCUUCCUCCUCUUUUGCCUCCCACCACCUCCCCCAAACCUCAAGCAAAGCUGUUCCCCAGCUCCUUCUGACCCACACCUUUCUCUGGGCCUGCCCUUCUGCCAGGGCUGCAGCUGAGCACCAUCAGGACAAAACAUGAACCUCUCUGGUCCUGGGGCUCAGGGUGAACUUCUUAUCUCUUUCCCUGU
rnacentral:lncRNA from 1 species